rnacentral:rRNA from 1 species
UACGGGGGGGGCAAGCGUUGUUCGGAAUUACUGGGCGUAAAGGGCUCGUAGGUGGCCAACUAAGUCGGACGUGAAAUCCCUCGGCUUAACCGGGGAACUGCGUCUGAUACUGGAUGGCUUGAGUUCGGGAGAGGGAUGCGGAAUUCCUGGUGUAGCGGUGAAAUGCGCAGAUAUCAGGAGGAACACCGGUGGCGAAGGCGGUUCUCUGGGCAUUACCUGACGCUGAGGAGCGAAAGUGUGGGGAGCGAACAGG